UAAACACCACCUAAUCCAACCUUCCAAGCUCAUUACGGUUUCUGCUAACGCUGUGAACACUAAUACGGUACGCACGCUAGAAGGCAGGACUGGUAAUUGUUUUUCAAGCCACAGAGACACAGGUAAACAGGAAAAAGGACAGAAGCAUGAUUGCACUUCUGCUGGUAGUUUCAAUUUUAUUACUCAUAUCGAACACUUCGUGCCUAUUGCAGACUAAAGGAGCAACUUUUUCACCACAGUGCGAGAUAUGUAAAUAUCAUUCCAACUUUCUGGUGGACGGACAAGUUGAAAACCUGGAACACCCAUGCGAGCAAGUUAGAUGUCUGGCGAACGAAAGUAAAGUAAUUGCUUUGGGUUGCCCACCACCACCUGGAUACCUGAUGAAUGGAUCUGACAACAAGUGGCCGAACUGCUGCAAAAAUGACACAGAGAGAAAUUGCAUAACACAAAGGCCUCAGUAACUGUACUAAUGCCAGAGGCAGUAUGCUUUUCUCGCCAUUGUUACAACCAUACACAAUGCUACAAAAAUCACCGUUUUCAAAUAAAUGAUACGGUCAGUGCGGAAAAUUGAAGACUUCAGAAUAAAUGGAUUUAGGUAUGCU